GACAGCUUGGCCGAGUGGUUAAGGCGACAGACUUGAAUUACAUCUGUUGGGUUCGCCCUCACAAGUUCGAAUCUUGUAGCUGUCG